CAGCAACUUGCGAUAUGGAUGCCAACAUUUUGGAUUUUGGACCAUUUGCCCCUCUGCGGUUGUAUAUACUGGACGUGCCGCUGCCAAAGCUCAGGGCGGCGUGACGUGAGAACUGGAGAGCGAGAGCGAGAGAGAGAGAGAGAGCGAAACAGUUAACACUUCGGGUCGAAGGAAGAAUCGUCCAGUCCAGACGAGAGGGGGUGGAAAACGCGCGCAAGACACUUCGCUCCGAUCGAUAUGUUCCCUUGGAACAUAUCGGAAGUACAAAAACUCGCCUGGGAAUCAUGCCCAACAUACGGGGUGGCUGCUGCUGCUGCUGCUGCUUGCGAUCCUCUCAACGUCUGGAGCUUUUCAAAAGAUUCUUGCUUGCUCCAGCGGAACUGAAUAUCUCGAUCCUGGAAGAGGGAAGGCAUUCCUUUUGCUUUUCGCUUGUCUCGCUCACCACUUUUCUCGGUACUCUCGCGACGCUGCCGACACCAAAGCUGGAGUUCUCCUUGUCCUCGAAUGGUGUUUGCUCGAUCGAUGCCAGAGAAGGAAGCCUUUUAAAAAAGAAGUCGCAAAGAAGGUCUUUUGAAAACUAUUCUUUAACAUUUUGCUCGUCCAAAUUAUAUAGAUGGAAGUUCACUAGAAACGAACAAAGCAGCCAAAGCUUUCGACGCCACACGACGACGAGCGAAACAGCGACAGACAAAACAAAUCACGUAGGGGUCACAGUUGUUCCAGUAACAGCAAACACACCCAAACAAUUCUACUCGCCAAAGUACCUCCACACGAUAACAGCUCCUUGUCAAUGAGGUGUACUCAGCGCCAGUUAAUUUACGUGAUGUCAAUGCAUAUCCAUCCAUAUGAUCUUCUUCUUC